CUUUGAUCAGGAACUUUCAAAUCCUGCUGCCAAAUUAUAGAGCCAUUAACUCAAAGCUCUUUUUCUAGUUCACUGCUUUUCUUUUCCUCAGGAGAAACCCCUGGAUCCCAGUGACCGGAGUUGUAGAUGGUGUGGCUGAGCUGCUGCAUCUGAUCUUUUAUUCUUUACCAAAGACUUCACAGGAUCACAUCUCCUGAGCAGGACCUCUGUUUCCACAGCCCUGUGGUGGCUCAGAAGCUGCACCUUUGAACCCAGCUCUUUCUUGCCCAGGUAGUUCCUGCUGUGUGCACCUGAAAUUCCACAGAGUCCUAUCCUGAAGAAACAGUUUCAUGCACAGAUUUUGAAGGCAAGAGAAGAAAAGUGAUCAGUGUUGGGAGAAAAAUGAAACAGAACUCAAAGAUUUGGUGGAGAUUUUUC
rnacentral:lncRNA from 12 species